UCUUGUUCGAACUAGAAUGCAUCGUAAGUAUAACGAAUAUUUUUUUGAAUAUAGGAACUUGAUUGUUACAAAAACCUAUAUCAUAUUAAUUAAGUACAAAAAAUUUAUAAAACUAUUGAUAUGCGUAAUUUAAAUUGUAAUAAGUAAAAAAAUGCAUGGAAUUGAUAUAAUAUUGUAUUAAAGGGUUCGGAAAAGAUGCUUGGAAUUGAUUUAAUAUAUUAUAGUAUUAAAAGGUUCGGAAACUUUUUUUUGGAAUUGAUUUAAUUUUGUAUGAAAUGGUUCAGGAAAGAUGUUUGGAAUUGAUUUAAUGUUGUAUUCAAAGGUUCGAAAAAAUAUGUUUGGAAUUGAUUUAAUAUUGUAUUAAAAGGUUCGGAAAAGAUGUUUGGAAUUGAUUUAAUAUUGUAUUGAAAGGUUCAGAAAAGAUGCUUGAAAUUGAGUUAAUAUUGUAUUAAAGGGUUCAGAAAAAUGUUUGGAAUUGAUUUAAUAUUGUAUUAAAAGGUUCAGAAAAGAUACUUGGAAUUGAGUUAAUAUAGUAUUAAAAGGUUCAGAAAGGAUGUUUGGAAUUGAUUUAAUAUUGUAUUAAAAGGUUCGGAAAAGAUGUUUGGAAUUGAUUUAAUAUUGUAUUGAAAGGUUCAGAAAAGAUGCUUGGAAUUGAGUUAAUAUUGUAUUAAAAGGUUCGGAAAAGAUGUUUGGAAUUGAUUUAAUUUUGUACGAAAAGGUUCGGAAAAGAUGUUUGGAAUUGAUUUAAUAUUGUAUUAAAAGGUUCAGAAAAGAUGCCUAGAAUUGAGUUAGUAAUGUAGUAUUAAAAGGUUCGUAAAAUAUGUUUGGAAUUGAUUUAAUAUUGUAUUAAAAUUUUAUGUAAUAAUUAAAUUUUGAUAUAUUUUUCUUUGUAGGCAAUGAUACACUCUUGAGGUUGUCAAAAUUGUCAGUAUAUAUUGUCAAUGUAGAUACAAACCUAUUGAAUGUUUCAUACAUUAAUUCUUGUAUUAAUAUUAAAUUUAUUUCUUUAUUGCUAUCUUAGAAUAUUAGCAUAAGAUACUUUGCAAAUACAAUUUGUAGUAUUGGACUAUAUAUCAGUAUGAUUAUUGAUAGAUUAACAAUAAAUCAACACAUUGAAAGUUGAUUGAAAUAGUUUUGUAACAAAACUAGUCUAAAGAAAUCUCUUUAAAAAAUAUUUUAGUUUUUAUAUAAUUACUUUGAG
rnacentral:misc_RNA from 1 species